rnacentral:rRNA from 1 species
GCGUCGUCUUCAGAGUUUGAUCCUGGCUCAGGAUGAACGCUGGCGGCGUGCCUAACACAUGCAAGUCGAGCGCGACUGAUUUGAUGCUUGCAUCAUUGAAAGUUGAGCGGCGGACGGGUGAGUAACGCGUGGGUAACCUGCCCUAUACACAUGGAUAACAUACUGAAAAGUUUACUAAUACAUGAUAAUGUAUAUUUACGGCAUCGUAGAUAUAUCAAAGUGUUAGCGGUAUAGGAUGGACCCGCGUCUGAUUAGCUAGUUGGUGAGAUAACUGCCCACCAAGGCGACGAUCAGUAGCCGACCUGAGAGGGUGAACGGCCACAAGGGGACUGAGACACGGCCCUU